rnacentral:rRNA from 1 species
GUGCCAGCAGCCGCGGUAAGACGAAGGUGGCAAGCGUUGUUCGGAAUCACUGGGCAUAAAGCGCACGUAGGCGGCCAAGUCAGUCGGUUGUGAAAGCCCUCGGCUCAACCGAGGAAGUGCUACCGAUACUGCUUGGCUUGAGGUCCGGAGGGGUGAGUGGAAUUCCCGGUGGAGCGGUGAAAUGCGUAGAGAUCGGGAAGAACGCCGGCGGCGAAAGCGACUCACUGGUCGGAAUCUGACGCUGAGGUGCGAAAGCUAGGGGAGCAAACGGGAUUAGAUACCCCGGUAGUCC